rnacentral:rRNA from 1 species
GAUGAACGCUGGCGGCGUGCCUAAUACGUGCAAGUCGAGCGAACAGAUGAGGAGCUUGCUCCUCUGACGUUAGCGGCGGACGGGUGAGUAACACGUGGAUAACCUACCUAUAAGACUGGGAUAACUUCGGGAAACCGGAGCUAAUACCGGAUAAUAUAUUGAACCGCAUGGUUCAAUAGUGAAAGACGGUUUUGCUGUCACUUAUAGAUGGAUCCGCGCCGCAUUAGCUAGUUGGUAAGGUAACGGCUUACCAAGGCAACGAUGCGUAGCCGACCUGAGAGGGUGAUCGGCCACACUGGAACUGAGACACGGUCCAGACUCCUACGGGAGGCAGCAGUAGGGAAUCUUCCGUAAUGGGCGAAAGCCUGACGGAGCAACGCCGCGUGAGUGAUGAAGGUCUUCGGAUCGUAAAACUCUGUUAUUAGGGAAGAACAAAUGUGUAAGUAACUAUGCACGUCUUGACGGUACCUAAUCAGAAAGCCACGGCUAACUACGUG